UAUACCACUUUUUAAUAAAUAUUUUUAUAAAAAUAACUAGUCAAACGGAUGCUUUAGAGACCGUGUUACUAUCCAAAACGACUUUAUUUAUGAGUAUGGAGGGAAUAUGUUUUUGUGCUAAUCUAUACUUUUUUAUUAUCUAUAAAGAGUCAAAAUUUCAGUUUGCCAAAUAUUUUCUUCUGCCUCCUGUCCAUGUUCUGUCCGUGUUCGGUUUACCGAUCUCCUCCUCCGUCCAACGUUUCUAAAAGGGCAAAAACAAAAUAAAAAAUAUUCUAGUCCUAAUGCAAAAUCUUAUAUUGCUCCGCUCCGGUCGCUCGCCAGCCAAUCAGCCCAACCGGAAUCCCAACCGGAAUCGGUACUGAUGGAAAGAAAAAAGAAUAAAAAUUUUUCUAGGGUUCCCAAUAUAAAAUCUCCAAUUUACUUUUCUUUUAAUUUUUAAAUCGGCUAAAAAUUAAUAAAUGCAUAGUAAUUCAUAGAAAAAUUUAAAAAUUAUAAAACAAAUUUUGUUCAGCUCCACAUAUAUAUAUCCAUGC
rnacentral:lncRNA from 1 species